rnacentral:lncRNA from 1 species
CACCUAAUCUUGCAUUUUAAAUCCGAAUCCCACAUCACACCACAUUUGAUAAUCACAAGAGCAUUAUCAACACAAACACCUAGCACGCAUCGCACGACUGUCCUCUUUACGAAAAACCUAGAGUUCUGCUUCCUCACACAAGCACACACAUAUCCACAUAUCAUCGCAUUAGCAUAACACCAACAAAAAUCAUUUCAUCAUACAUCGAACACAACUACGACGAUAAUUAUCUAACCAAACCAUUCAUUAACUAAAUAGCCGGAGAAACGACUUGGCUCAUGACUUGAUUUUUAGCAAGAACGAUGACGGCCACCAGUUCGAGCAUAUCAUCGAACAUGUGACAGGUACCCCACUAAAACCUUCUUCUCCUUAUCUAAAUCUUCCGGGAUUUACCUCUACCACCAACACACACAAACAUACACAAUUAAUACUCAAACAUAGGCACUGGUGAGGAAUAAACAUAGCGCAAGCAGCUGGUCUCACCAGGGUUGCAAAGGUCCAACGUGCUGCUGUUGUACCUAGGCGCCAUGCAUCAAGCAUAGGGGAAACUCGGCCAUGGGGAAAGUGCUGGCAUGGGAAAGGCAGCCAGUCGAGAGGGGCUAGGGUUGGAGAGGGAAGGAGAUGGGAGAGGGGCUAUCCAUGGCAACAAAAGAGGGGGCUGGCGUCCACACCAUGGGAAGGAGCAAGGAGGACGCUGGACAGAGGGCAGGGGCGAGCUUCAGGGAGGAGCGUCGGCCACCAGGAAACAGGAAGCAGGGUCGCGCGCUAGGAUGGAUGCCGAGCAGAUCUUGGAAGCCAUGGAAGGUGAGGCCGUCGGCCAUGGGGAGGGAGGAGGGAGGGACGACCGUGGGGAGCUGCAGGGAAGGAGCUCGGCUGGGCGAGCGUCGCGCGGGGAAGAGAGUGGCCUGCGUGAAGGGAGCAGCGGCCAUGGCGAGGUAGAGAUCCGGUCG